CAAGCACUGAUAAUUCCAAUUAUGGUAGAAAUUAUUAUCAGGAGUCAGUUUCACCACAAGUGCAGCAUGUUGCUUCUGGAAUUCCAUAUAAUGAAAACUAUCAACAGCCUUUUGAUCCUUCAUACGGGAGAGGGUAUGCU